rnacentral:rRNA from 1 species
UACGAAGGGGGCUAGCGUUGCUCGGAAUUACUGGGCGUAAAGCGCACGUAGGCGGUCUUUUAAGUCGGGGGUGAAAUCCUGGAGCUCAACUCCAGAACUGCCUUCGAUACUGGAAGACUUGAGUCCGGGAGAGGUGAGUGGAACUGCGAGUGUAGAGGUGAAAUUCGUAGAUAUUCGCAAGAACACCAGUGGCGAAGGCGGCUCACUGGCCCGGUACUGACGCUGAGGCGCGAAAGCGUGGGGAGCAAACGGG